rnacentral:tRNA from 1 species
GCCCCCGUAGCUCAGGUGGAUAGAGCGCUGGCCUCCGGAGCCAGGUGCGCAGGUUCGAGUCCUGCCGGGGGUA